rnacentral:rRNA from 1 species
GAUGAACGCUAGCUACAGGCUUAACACAUGCAAGUCGAGGGGAAACGAUAUUGGAAGCUUGCUUCCGAUAGGCGUCGACCGGCGCACGGGUGAGUAACGCGUAUCCAACCUGCCCACCACUUGGGGAUAACCUUGCGAAAGUAAGACUAAUACCCAAUGAUAUCUCUAGAAGACAUCUGAAGGAGAUUAAAGAUUUAUCGGUGAUGGAUGGGGAUGCGUCUGAUUAGCUUGUUGGCGGGGUAACGGCCCACCAAGGCGACGAUCAGUAGGGGUUCUGAGAGGAAGGUCCCCCACAUUGGAACUGAGACACGGUCCAAACUCCUACGGGAGGCAGCAGUGAGGAAUAUUGGUCAAUGGGCGAGAGCCUGAACCAGCCAAGUAGCGUGCAGGAUGACGGCCCUAUGGGUUGUAAACUGCUUUUGUAAGGGAAUAAAGUGAGUCUCGUGAGACUUUUUGCAUGUACCUUAUGAAUAAGGACCGGCUAAUUCCGUGCCAGCAGCCACCGUAA